rnacentral:misc_RNA from 1 species
UCUCCGUAGGUGAACCUGCGGAGGGAUCAUUAACACGUUCCAUACCAAAUCAUUAACCAAACUGCGAACUAUUGUAUCCGCCUCAAUAGUCAUGCCGUUGACGGUGUAUGCUGAGAUCUAGGAUGAAGGUGGGCAAGAUGCGAUCAUCGUUACGCACACUCGUUGUGGGUAACGCUGCAAACGCUUGUUCAUACGGAUCGAGCAUGCGAUGACAGUGGGACCUGGAUUUGAUCUGUCAGUCGUCCUCAGUAUGACGAGGCCAACUAUAUAUGCGAUCAGUGGUUUAUCAUCGACUGCUGGUUCCAUAUCCACACGCCCUUUCUUCUUCCUAUCUGUCUCCCUGUGAGGCUAUACGGAACCAGAAUGCAUUAUUUUAUCAAAAUACUGUUUUCGUGCCUGAGGGUCUCAGCGUUGCUGUCGUCGUUGUUGGAGCCCAGCUCUGCACAGACGCAUCCUCUGCUGUGCCCGCUUUCAUGAGACAGUCGUAGCGAAUCCGCUACACAUCUAAGAAUAUAAAACAACUCUUAGCAAUGGAUAUCUUGGUUCUC